AUGAGAACUUGCCCUAACGGGUAGAUCUCCCACCCUUUGUUAACCAAACAUUGUUGCUUUGUCUGGCCCGACCCUCGGGUCCGCCGGCCUUCGGGCUGGUCAGCGCCGGACAGAGGAAACUAAAACCUUUAUCACUGUCGUCAGAGUACUAUAUAAUAGUUA
rnacentral:misc_RNA from 1 species